rnacentral:rRNA from 1 species
AUUGAACGCUGGCGGCAUGCCUUACACAUGCAAGUCGAACGGCAGCACGGGAGCAAUCCUGGUGGCGAGUGGCGAACGGGUGAGUAAUGUAUCGGAACGUACCUUUCAGUGGGGGAUAACGUAGCGAAAGUUACGCUAAUACCGCAUAUUCUGUGAGCAGGAAAGCAGGGGAUCGCAAGACCUUGCGCUGAUUGAGCGGCCGAUAUCAGAUUAGCUAGUUGGUGAGGUAACGGCCCACCAAGGCGACGAUCGAUAGCUGGUCUGAGAGGAUGAUCAGCCACACUGGGACUGAGACACGGCCCAGACUCCUACGGGAGGCAGCAGUGGGGAAUAUUGGACAAUGGGGGAAACCCUGAUCCAGCAAUGCCGCGUGCGUGAAGAAGGCCUUAGGGUUGUAAAGCGCUUUCACCUGUCGAUGAUGAUGACAGUAGCAGGAGAAGAAGCCCC